UACGACUGGAGCAAGCGUGGUGCGGAAUCACUGGGCUUAAAGCGUGCGGAGGCGGAUAUGAAAGUCAGAAGUGAAAGCCUGGGGCUUAACCCUAGAACUGCUUUUGAAACUUCAUAUCUCGAAUCCGGUAGAGGUCAGGAGAAUUCCGAGUGUAGAGGUGAAAUUCGCAGAUAUUAGGAGGAACACCAGUGGCGAAGGCGCCUGACUGGGCCGGUAUUGACGCUGAGGCAGGAACGCGUGGGGAGCAAACAGG
rnacentral:rRNA from 1 species